GAGAUAUUAGUAAAAAUUAUUACAUAACUUUGUCAAGGUUAAAUUAUAGACUAAAUCUGUAUAUCUCA
rnacentral:tRNA from 1 species